rnacentral:rRNA from 1 species
UAGGGAAUCUUCCGCAAUGGACGCAAGUCUGACGGAGCAACGCCGCGUGAGUGAAGAAGGAUUUCGGUUCGUAAAACUCUGUUGUUAGAGAAGAACAGCGCAUAGAGUAACUGUUAUGCGUGUGACGGUAUCUAACCAGAAAGCCACGGCUAACUACGUGCCAGCAGCCGCGGUAAUACGUAGGUGGCAAGCGUUGUCCGGAUUUAUUGGGCGUAAAGCGAGCGCAGGCGGUCAAUUAAGUCUGAUGUGAAAGCCCCCGGCUCAACCGGGGAGGGUCAUUGGAAACUGGUUGACUUGAGUGCAGAAGAGGAGAUUGGAAUUCCAUGUGUAGCGGUGAAAUGCGUAGAUAUAUGGAGGAACACCAGUGGCGAAGGCGACUCUCUGGUCUGUAACUGACGCUGAGGCUCGAAAGCGUGGGUAGCAAACAGG